UACGAAGGGUGCAAGCGUUGUUCGGAAUUAUUGGGCGUAAAGCGCGCGCAGGCGGAUAAAUGUGUCAGAUGUUAAAUUACGGGGCUCAACCCCGCUAGUGCAUCUGAAACUGUUUAUCUAGAAUGUCGGAGGGGGUAGGGGAAUUUCACGUGUAGGGGUAAAAUCCGUAGAGAUGUGAAGGAACACCUGGGGCGAAGGCGCCUACCUGGACGAUUAUUGACGCUGAGGCGCGAAAGCGUGGGGAGCAAACAGG
rnacentral:rRNA from 1 species